CUCUCUCUCUCUCUCUCUCUCUCUCUCUCUCUCUCUCUCUCUCUCUCUGCCGACAAGCAAACACGGCAACACCCACUCCCUCCAGACCACCGCCCAGGCGCCCAGACACAAGUCGGAAGUCGCCACCGCCCACCAGAUGUCCAGACCAGCAGUGACUACACGCUGUACAUCCUGCAACGACGAGUCGACGACUACACCCUGCAUCUGCAUCUCACUGAUCAACAAGAACCACGGAUUCUUACUCUUGCAAUGUAAGUUGUUCUCACAUUUUUUUAUAAAAUGUUAUGUGUUUAUAAUUGUUACUUAAAAAUUACUUAUAUUGUGUAUAAUUAUAUUGAAGAUUGUGUAUAAUUAUAUUGAAGAUGGAGAGCUCUCAAUCCAAAAGAUCUGCUGCUUUUUCUCAAGAAAUGUCACAGCCACUUUUUGAAAAGGAUAUGGAAGAAUUGCAAUCUACUUUGCCUCCAGAUAAGAAGUUAAAAGCGGGGCGGGAAUACAUAUGGAACAGAAAAAGUAAGAGGAUAUGGAAGAAAAUUUGCAAGAGUUACAAGAAAUGGAGAAAGGUAUUAAUUUUAUGUACUUGUAAUUUUGUUACACCAAAUUUAUUAUUUCAUUGUUAUCAUUCAUUAAUAUAUUCUAUAAUGUUUUUUUAUUUAGAGGUGCAACAUGAUGUAUCUAACGAUGGAGACGAUGAAGUUGUUUUCGUUGACUCAUUAGUGUGAAUCACGCAAUCAAAGGGAAAGCAACUCGCCAAAAUUCAAGUUGUCUUUGGAUAAUUUAUGUAUUUCUAGUAUUUGAGACUUAGAGACUUUAUGUAAUUUAAUGAAUUAUUUGUUAUAUUUGAGACUUAUAGAUUUUAUGUAGUUUUUGUCAUUGAUA